ACUAUGAUAUGCAAAGAAUUUCUGUUUCCAAACCAAUACAAGCCAAAGGUUUUCCUUAGCAGCAUCAUAAAAUCACUGUGACGUCUCUCAGAGAAGAAAAGGGAUAAGUGUGUGUGUAGGCUUUAUCUGUUAAAAAUCUUUGCCUCUCAUUAUUUUUUUUUCAUUUACACUGUCAAACUGAGUCAGAUGGUUGGAAGAGUUGUCUGCCCUAUCAGCCUCUGCAAAUAUUCCCCCAUUUUGAAAAUGUGGCAACAAAACAUCAUGAAAUUCUUCUUGUGCAUCAAUCAAAAUUUUUAUUUAAAGAGUGGCUGACCUGAGACAGGACCCACAGACACCUAACUUAUAGUUCUGCUUUCCUGCAUCACUCCAAAAUGUUGUGUGGAGGAAAUCACUGUCACCCCUGAUAUCCUUGGGAAUGGGUGAACACAUUUCUCUGCCUGAUGAUGAGACUGGGAAAGUAAUGGGAGUAUGAAGGGAUAUUGGUUAUAACACCAUAGUAAUUGUCCACUGGGUGCAGAGACUGCUUUUGUCAAGGUUUUAGUCAUUUGCUCCAGAACAGUUUGUUCUUGGAUUAGAUGCCCAAGAAGCAGAAUGUGUCACAGGGGAUUGCCUAUUUCCUUUUUUUUUUUAAAAAAAAAAAAAAGCAAAAAUUGUCCCCUGUUUUCAGCACUUUCACUGUGGAGUUCUUUCACCCCCCACACAGAGGAUCACUCUGCUGGGGAACACAAAUGCAGCUCUGAGCCCUUGCACACUGCCUGUGGCUGCAAGACAAGGAAAAUAGUGAAAGGAGGCUCUGGGGCAAGAGUGCAGGAAUGUGGCUUGGAAGUUUCAGGCUGAAUGGUUAAGGCAGAUGUGUUGUUCCUACAGGUAAUUCCUAGGGAAGAAGCACACUGCAGAAAGCUGGGAGAUAUCUAGGAAUUGCACAGAAAUAUCAAAGAUUGCGCACGAGGAAAUGGUAUCCCUGAAAGGACAUCUCCAUUCAAAUCACCAAGCAGUGAACUCAUGAACUCCUAACCUUCCGAGAGACUGCAAGCUGAGAGGGAUUUUAAUCUAUUUCAAACCUUGUUAAGGACUGAAUUUAGCAGGAGAUAACAAACAAACUUGGGAGGAGAGAACUUAAGAGCUGCAGGAAUUCCAACUUGUUCCCUCAAGAGCUGAGAAGCCUAAGUAUCCAGAAAAGCUUUAUAAAUGGCUACAAACACUGGGGGGAAUAACAAUCACCUGGAACACACAAACAUUGAAAUUAAACCAUGAACGUCAGAGUGGGAGAUGGGGUGCCUUCGUCUUUCCUUUCCUGGUGCCAGAGGACAGACUGUACGUCUUGCCCAGAGGUCUGGGGGAGGACCUCCCUUCCUACUGAGUCCUCGGCAGAGUCCUCUGCACCAUGAGGUUUGGCUCUGUGCCCCUCUUGCUGGAAAACUGCCCUCAGUGCAAGAAAAUCCCAAGGCAUCAUCAGCCAGUGCCCUCCACAUCAUUGGAGCUGCAUCCUGUGAGCCCUCUCCUGCCAUUGGGGCGAUGUCUGCUGGAUGCUUCACGGGUUUGGUCCAAGCAAACUCCUGCUCUGUGGUGCAUGGUGACAGGCCAGCACUGCUCCAUAAUGGGAGGAGGAAUGUGAGGUAUAAUGUAUAAUGUACAGAGGGAUCUGGAUCCUCUCCUACAUGGCUACUGCAGAGUAACCAUUGUGGCAUAGGCUGUCCAUGGGGUGAUACCUACAUAAAUCUGCCCUGUGCUGCUGGGUAAAUCUGGGAGGUGAUACAGCGUGAGAAUGCUGUUUGCUCAGAUAGACAGUGGUGGAGAGAGGGAUACAGGGUGGAGAUUGGACAGGUAUAUAUGGGAAGACAGAUUUCCCAUAUAGACAGUGUCAAAAAUAUAUAUCUAUAUCUAUAUUUGUAUGUGUAUAUGUUUAUGUAUUCUAAUGAAUAACUGUAUGUUUUAAAAAGUUUUAAAACUUCUUACAGAAGGUCAUUUAGUACUCCACUUCUCAAGUUUCUCAUCAAAACUUCUCAUUUCCCAUGGCUGACCCUUCUCUGGAAAUUUACUUCUGCCCAUGGUGACACAAUCCUUUCAGCUCCUUCAGCAGCGCUGGAAAACACAGGGAUCUUGCGAGAGAGACUGUAGAAAACUGCAGAAUCAGUAUCUGCAAAGUUUUUUGGAGCCAGCACCCCAACAUGGAGUGGUGUGCUCCUCCAUCACUCUAACCACCCAUGUCCUCCCAUCCCCAAAGUGAAGUAUGGGCUGAAUUACAAAAGUACAGCAUUUCAUUGACCAAGACAAACAUAUACACCUCAACUUGCCUGUUUUAGAGAAUACCUUUUCAGACAUAACUUUGAUAUUACCUUUAUUUUUUUAUCAGUGAUCGGUAAAUUUUGAAGACAUUAAGAACGUGAGAUUCUCUGUGCUUGUAGAAACCCAUUUAAAGCUUCUUCUUUAUUAAUGGCUUUGGAAAUUCCUUACCAAUACUUACUGUAAGUUAAAGGUAAAGCAUGGAUAAUAUUUCAGCCAUCAGGAAAAAAGGUUUUCAGAAUUGCUGGUCAGACUGUAGCAUCCUGGGGCAAAAUGGAACCACAUGGAGUACUGAAUCAGGACUGCUGUCUUCAGAGGUGAUCUUCAGAAGAUGAAUUUCUACACCAGAUGUUCUCCCAUACCAUGGUGCAUAAAAAACACCGUAACGAAGUGAAGAUCCAGCAGUAAAAGACCAAAAGACAAAACUGCAGGGUGAUUUUGGAAGAAAACAGGAGCAAUCUGGACCAUCAAGUGCAACUGCUCUGAAGACCUCACUCAUUUUUUCCACAGAAAUCAAAAGUACAUGAGUCUAUGGCAGGGAAUAAAAGAAAUGUUCAGUAAUAACUGGGACUCAGUAUAAAUAAUGAAGGGGUGUAAAGAAUGUAUAUGACUGGAAUGUACAGCCAUAGAAGAUUUUAAAAACCUAAAAUGAAAAUAAAAGUCUUUAUGAAUUCUGCAGGGAGUGCAUUCUUGGCACCAUCCUCCAGAGGGGAAGUUAAGAAAGGAAAACCAUUACGUGAUGAGGAGGGUAGGUAGGUAAAGGGGAAUGUAGGUAUUGAAAACAAAAACAAAAACUUUUUAGGGAUAUGAGCUAAGAAAUGUACACAAGAGCUACGGGAAGAAGGAAACAUUCUAAGUCAAAUGAUUGUGGUUUCUCCUUCGUCUGGAGAAUUAUACAGCAUUCUCCUGACUCCAAAUGGGCAUCACAUCAAAAAUGUUAAUGAGAGAGACUGUGUUUUCAGCUUGUUCUUUAUAGGUGGUUAAGCAUUUUCUUAUUGGGGCAGUAGUGGCAAGGACAGGUUCACUGAUGGUUUGAAACAAUCUGGGAUUUGUAAUUUUAUUCUAGAAUUGCUUGGCUACUAGUUAUCUCUUAUGAAGGCAUGGGGAACAUGCAUUUGGCUUUUGCAGG